rnacentral:rRNA from 1 species
UACAGAGGUCUCAAGCGUUGUCCGGAUUUAUUGGGCGUAAAGAGCUCGUAGGCGGUCUGUCGCGUCUGCUGUGAAAACUCGGGGCUUAACCCCGGGCCUGCAGUGGGUACGGGCAGACUAGAGUGCGGUAGGGGAGACUGGAAUUCCUGGUGUAGCGGUGAAAUGCGCAGAUAUCAGGAGGAACACCGGUGGCGAAGGCGGGUCUCUGGGCCGUAACUGACGCUGAGGAGCGAAAGCGUGGGGAGCGAACAGG